rnacentral:rRNA from 1 species
UACGGAGGAUGCAAGCGUUAUCCGGAAUGAUUGGGCGUAAAGCGUCCGCAGGUGGCUGUGUAAGUCUGCUGUCAAAGAGCAAAGCUCAACUUUGUAAAGGCAGUGGAAACUACACGGUUAAAGUGCGUUCGGGGCAGAGGGAAUUCCUGGUGUAGCGGUGAAAUGCGUAGAGAUCAGGAAGAACACCGGUGGCGAAGGCGCUCUGCUAGGCCGCAACUGACACUGAGGGACGAGAGCGUGGGGAGCAAACAGG